UACGAAGGGGGCUAGCGUUGCUCGGAAUUACUGGGCGUAAAGUGUGCGCAGGCGGCUGAGCAAGUCGAGUGUGAAAGCCCCGGGCUUAACUUGGGAAUUGCGCUCGAAACUACUUGGCUGGAGUGUGGCAGAGGAGGGUUGAAUUCCACGUGUAGCGGUGAAAUGCGUAGAGAUGUGGAGGAACACCAAUGGCGAAGGCGACUCUUUGGCCUGUAACUGACGCUGAGGCGCGAAAGCGUGGGGAGCAAACAGG
rnacentral:rRNA from 1 species